CAGAGGGUGCAAGCGUUGUUCGGAAUUAUUGGGCGUAAAGGGCGCGUAGGCGGUGCGGUAAGUCUUUUGUGAAAUCUCCGGGCUCAACUCGGAGUCUGCAAGGGAAACUGCCGUGCUUGAGUGUGGGAGAGGUGAGUGGAAUUCCCCGGUGUAGCGGUGAAAUGCGUAGAUAUCGGGAGGAACACCUGUGGCGAAAGCGGCUCACUGGACCACAACUGACGCUGAGGCGCGAAAGCUAGGGGAGCAAACAGGAUUAGAUACCCUGGUAGUCCUAGCCCUAAACGAUGAUUGCUUGGUGUAGCAGGUACCCAAUCCUGCUGUGCCGAAGCUAACGCGAUAAGCAAUCCGCCUGGGGAGUACGGUCGCAAGGCUG
rnacentral:rRNA from 1 species